GAGCGUGGUGAUACAUGCCUGGAGUUCCAGCCACUUAGGAGGAUCUCCUGAGCCCAAGAGUUCUGGGCUUUCUGUGCUCUGUGCCCAUCGGGUGCCCACACUGAGCUCAGCAUCAAUACGGUGACUUCCGAAGAGGGGAGGUGGGGUUAGGGGGGAUCACCAGGCUGCCUAAAGAGGGGUGAACUGGCCCGGGUCAGAAGCAGCAGGUCAAAACUCCCGUGCUGGUCAGCAGUGGGAUUGCUCCUGUGAAUAGCCACUGCACUCCAGCCUGGGCAACAUAGCGAGGCCCUAU
ensembl:misc_RNA Metazoa_SRP Metazoan signal recognition particle RNA